rnacentral:rRNA from 1 species
UACGUAGGGGGCAAGCGUUGUCCGGAUUUAUUGGGCGUAAAGAGCGUGUAGGCGGCCGCACAGGUCCGUUGUGAAAACUGGAGGCUCAACCUUCAGACGUCGAUGGAAACCGUGCGGCUAGAGUCCGGAAGAGGAGAGUGGAAUUCCUGGUGUAGCGGUGAAGUGCGUAGAUAUCUGGAGGAACACCGGUGGCGAAGGCGGCAUCCUGGACCGGUAUUGACGCUGAUGCGCGAAAGCCAGGGGAGCAAACGGG